rnacentral:rRNA from 1 species
AUACAACUCUCAGCAACGGAUAUCUUGGCUCUUGCAACGAUGAAGAACGCAGCGAAAUGCGAUACGUAGUGUGAAUUGCAGAAUUCCGCGAAUCAUCGAGUCUUUGAACGCAAGUUGCGCCCGAGGCUUGUCCGAGGGCAUUUCCGCUAGAGCGUCACC